GACGAACGCUGGCGGCGUGCUUAACACAUGCAAGUCGAACGGUGAUGCUCCAGCUUGCUGGAGUGGAUCAGUGGCGAACGGGUGAGUAACACGUGAGCAACCUGCCCCAGACUCUGGAAUAAGCGCUGGAAACGGCGUCUAAUACUGGAUACGAAACUGGCCCGCAUGGGCAUGGUUUGGAAAGUUUUUCGGUUUGGGAUGGGCUCGCGGCCUAUCAGCUUGUUGGUGGGGUAAUGGCUCACCAAGGCGACGACGGGUAGCCGGCCUGAGAGGCGACCGGCCACACUGGGACUGAGACACGGCCCAGACUCCUACGGGAGGCAGCAGUGGGGAAUAUUGCACAAUGGGCGGAAGCCUGAUGCAGCGACGCCGCGUGAGGGAUGACGGCCUUCGGGUUGUAAACCUCUUUCAGCAGGGAAGAAGCGAUAGUGACGGUACCUGCAGAAGAAGCACCGGCUAACUACGUG
rnacentral:rRNA from 1 species